UAAUACGUAGAAGGCGAACGUUAUUCGGAUUUACUGGGCGUAAAGCGGGGGUAGACGGCCCCUUAAGUCGGGUAUGAAAUCUCCUGACUCAAUCAGGAGAGGCUAUUCGAUACUGGGGAGCUUGAGGGCAGCAGAGGAAGGUGGAAUUCCCGGUGUAGCGGUGAUAUGCGUAGAUAUCGGGAGGAACACCAGUGGCGAAGGCGACCUUCUAGGCUGUUCCUGACGUUGAGACCCGAAAGCGUGGGGAGCGAAACGGAUUAGAUACCCGUGUAGUCCACGCCGUAAACGUUGGACACUAGGUAUGGGGAGUAUCGACCCUCUCCGUGCCGCAGCUAACGCCUUAAGUGUCCCGCCUGGGGACUACGGCCACAAGGCUA
rnacentral:rRNA from 1 species